rnacentral:rRNA from 1 species
GCGGUUUCCGGGAUAUUGGGGCGUAAGCGCUCGCAGGCGGUCUUUUAAGUCUGAUGUGAAAGCCCACGGCUCAACCGUGGAGGGUCAUUGGAAACUGGGAGACUUGAGUGCAGAAGAGGAGAGUGGAAUUCCACGUGUAGCGGUGAAAUGCGUAGAGAUGUGGAGGAACACCAGUGGCGAAGGCGACUCUCUGGUCUGUAACUGACGCUGAGGAGCGAAAGCGUGGGGAGCGAACAGGAUUAGAUACCCUGGUAGUCCACGCCGUAAACGAUGAGUGCUAAGUGUUAGAGGGUUUCCGCCCUUUAGUGCUGCAGCAAACGCAUUAAGCACUCCGCCUGGGGAGUACGGUCGCAAGACUGAAACUCAAAGGAAUUGACGGGGGCCCGCACAAGCGGUGGAGCAUGUGGUUUAAUUCGAAGCAACGCGAAGAACCUUACCAGGUCUUGACAUCCCGUGACAACUCUAGAGAUAGAGCGUUUCCCUUCGGGGAACACGGUGACAGGUGGUGCAUGGUUGUCGUCAGCUCGUGUCGUGAGAUGUUGGGUUAAGUCCCGCAACGAGCGCAACCCUUGAUCUUAGUUGCCAGCAUUCAGUUGGGCACUCUAAGGUGACUGCCGGUGACAAACCGGAGGAAGGUGGGGGAUGACGUCAAAUCAU